AAUAUUGGACAAUGGGGGCAACCCUGAUCCAGCCAUGCCGCGUGUGUGAAGAAGGUCUUCGGAUUGUAAAGCACUUUGGGGUGGGAGGAAGGGCUUUAGGCUAAUACCCUGCAGUUUUGACGUUACCAACAGAAUAAUCACCGGCUAACUCUGUGCACGCAGCCGCGGGAAUUCAGAAGGUGCAAGUGUUAAUCGGAAUUACUGGGCGUAAAGCGCGCGGAGGUGGUUCAGUAAGAUGGGUGUUAAAUCCCCGGGCUUAACCUGGGAACUGCUUUCAUAACUGCUGAGCUAGAGUACGGUAGAGGGUAGUGGAAUUUCCUGUGUAGCGGUGAAAUGCGUAGAUAUAGGAAGGAACACCAGUGGCGAAGGCGACUACCUGGACUGAUACUGACACUGAGGUGCGAAAGCGUGGGGAGCAAACA
rnacentral:rRNA from 1 species